rnacentral:rRNA from 1 species
GUGGGGAAUAUUGGACAAUGGGCGAAAGCCUGAUCCAGCCAUGCCGCGUGUGUGAAGAAGGUCUUCGGAUUGUAAAGCACUUUAAGUUGGGAGGAAGGGCAGUAAGUUAAUACCUUGCUGUUUUGACGUUACUGACAGAAUAAGCACCGGCUAACUUCGUGCCAGCAGCCGCGGUAAUACGAAGGGUGCAAGCGUUAAUCGGAAUUACUGGGCGUAAAGCGCGCGUAGGUGGUUUUGUAAGUUGGAGGUGAAAUCCCCGGGCUCAACCUGGGAACUGCCUCCAAAACUGCAUGACUAGAGUACGGUAGAGGGUAGUGGAAUUUCCUGUGUAGCGGUGAAAUGCGUAGAUAUAGGAAGGAACACCAGUGGCGAAGGCGACUACCUGGACUGAUACUGACACUGAGGUGCGAAAGCGUGGGGAGCAAACAGGAUUAGAUACCCGGGUAGUCC